AGACCCGAAACCCGGUGAUCUAGCCAUGGGCAGGUUGAAGGUUGGGUAACACUAACUGGAGGACCGAACCGACUAAUGUUGAAAAAUUAGCGGAUGACCUGUGGCUGGGGGUGAAAGGCCAAUCAAACCGGGAGAUAGCUGGUUCUCCCCGAAAGCUAUUUAGGUAGCGCCUCGUGAAUUCAUCUCCGGGGGUAGAGCACUGUUUCGGCUAGGGGGCCAUCCCGGCUUACCAACCCGAUGCAAACUGCGAAUACCGGAGAAUGUUAUCACGGGAGACACACGGCGGGUGCUAACGUCCGUCGUGAAGAGGGAAACAACCCAGACCGCCAGCUAAGGUCCCAAAGUCAUGGUUAAGUGGGAAACGAUGUGGGAAGGCCCAGACAGCCAGGAUGUUGGCUUAGAAGCAGCCAUCAUUUAAAGAAAGCGUAAUAGCUCACUGGUCGAGUCGGCCUGCGCGGAAGAUGUAACGGGGCUAAACCAUGCACCGAAGCUGCGGCAGCGACACUGUGUGUUGUUGGGUAGGGGAGCGUUCUGUAAGCCUGUGAAGGUGGCCUGUGAGGGUUGCUGGAGGUAUCAGAAGUGCGAAUGCUGACAUAAGUAACGAUAAAGCGGGUGAAAAGCCCGCUCGCCGGAAGACCAAGGGUUCCUGUCCAACGUUAAUCGGGGCAGGGUGAGUCGACCCCUAAGGCGAGGCCGAAAGGCGUAGUCGAUGGGAAACGGGUUAAUAUUCCCGUACUUGGUGUUACUGCGAAGGGGGGACGGAGAAGGCUAUGUUGGCCGGGCGACGGUUGUCCCGGUUUAAGCGUGUAGGCUGGUUUUCCAGGCAAAUCCGGAAAAUCAAGGCUGAGGCGUGAUGACGAGGCACUACGGUGCUGAAGCAACAAAUGCCCUGCUUCCAGGAAAAGCCUCUAAGCAUCAGGUAACAUCAAAUCGUACCCCAAACCGACACAGGUGGUCAGGUAGAGAAUACCAAGGCGCUUGAGAGAACUCGGGUGAAGGAACUAGGCAAAAUGGUGCCGUAA
rnacentral:rRNA from 1 species